AUGAAAUGUGUGUGUUUGUGUGUGAGAGAGUGUCCUGCAGCUCAUCACAGGAGAGGUACUUCAGACCUGAGUUUGGCCCUACCCAACCCGACCUCUGACAAAUCUGGUGGCAGUCACCCUUCCAGUUUGUUCUGUUUCUCUUCACUAGUCAGAGUAUCUGCCAGACAUGAAACUUGAAUCAGAUCCAAGCAAAUCUUGUACGCCCAGAAAUCCCGCCAGGAAAUGUCACCCUGUGUCACUGUAUAUUUAAAGGAAAGUGUUUUCCAUCAGACUCUAAUGACUCAGAGCGAGACCGAAAGCUGCUCCCAGGUCAGUUGAACCUGUCAUUGUUUUUAAAAGGGGGUGACAUGUUUGGACUUGUACGGCAAACAGAAAAGACGUGGAACUCUGGCGUUUCAAUGACAACUCCAUAAACACAACUCUAGCAGGAGAAUGCACAUUUUGAGACCUGGACCACAACCAGAUUUUUUUUUUUUUCUUUCUGUAAAUAAACUCUUUAAUGGCUUUGAAUGCA
ensembl:lncRNA